GACGAACGCCGGCGGCGUGCUUAACACAUGCAAGUCGAGCGGUAAGGCCCUUUUGGGGGUACACGAGCGGCGAACGGGUGAGUAACACGUGGGUGACCUGCCCUCAGCUCUGGGAUAAGCCUGGGAAACUGGGUCUAAUACUGGAUAUGACCUUUCCUCGCAUGGGGUUGGGUGGAAAGUUUUUUCGGCUGGGGAUGGGCCCGCGGCCUAUCAGCUUGUUGGUGGGGUGAUGGCCUACCAAGGCGACGACGGGUAGCCGGCCUGAGAGGGCGACCGGCCACACUGGGACUGAGACACGGCCCAGACUCCUACGGGAGGCAGCAGUGGGGAAUAUUGCGCAAUGGGCGGAAGCCUGACGCAGCGACGCCGCGUGGGGGAUGACGGCCUU
rnacentral:rRNA from 1 species